rnacentral:rRNA from 1 species
ACGGCCUUCGGGUUGUAAACCUCUUUCAGCAGGGACGAAGCGCAAGUGACGGUACCUGCAGAAGAAGCACCGGCCAACUACGUGCCAGCAGCCGCGGUAAUACGUAGGGUGCGAGCGUUGUCCGGAAUUAUUGGGCGUAAAGGGCUCGUAGGCGGUUUGUCACGUCGGGAGUGAAAACUCGGGGCUUAACCCCGAGCCUGCUUCCGAUACGGGCUGACUAGAGGUAUGCAGGGGAGAACGGAAUUCCUGGUGUAGCGGUGAAAUGCGCAGAUAUCAGGAGGAACACCGGUGGCGAAGGCGGUUCUCUGGGCAUUACCUGACGCUGAGGAGCGAAAGUGUGGGGAGCGAACAGGAUUAGAUACCCUGGUAGUCCACACCGUAAACGUUGGGCGCUAGGUGUGGGACUCAUUCCACGAGUUCCGUGCCGCAGCUAACGCAUUAAGCGCCCCGCCUGGGGAGUACGGCCGCAAGGCUAAAACUCAAAGGAAUUGACGGGGGCCUGCACAAGCGGUGGAGUAUGUGGCUUAAUUCGAUGCAACGCGAAGAACCUUACCUGGCCUUGACAUGCAAGUGGUAGAACCAUGAAAGUGGGACGACCCCGCAAGGGGAGCUUGCACAGGUGCUGCAUGGCUGUCGUCAGCUCGUGUCGUGAGAUGUUGGGUUAAGUCCCGCAACGAGCGCAACCCUUGUGUCCUGUUGCCACCUC